rnacentral:rRNA from 1 species
AUACGGAGGGUGCAAGCGUUAAUCGGAAUUACUGGGCGUAAAGCGUACGUAGGCGGUUCGUUAAGUUAGAUGUGAAAGCCCCGGGCUUAACCUGGGAACUGCAUUUAAAACUGGCGAACUAGAGUUGAGUAGAGGGGAGUGGAAUUUCAGGUGUAGCGGUGAAAUGCGUAGAGGUCUGAAGGAACACCAGUGGCGAAGGCGGCUCCCUGGACUCAAACUGACGCUGAGGUACGAAAGCGUGGGUAGCAAACGGGAUUAGAAACCCUAGUAGUCC